AAUAUUUCUCCGCUUUCCCCUUUUGCCCUCGCACUCGCUCUCUCCCCGACAGGCCCCUGGCUACCACUCGCCUCCUCCCCACCCCAGAUCCGUCGACCUCACCUUGCCCACCACCGCUCACCGCCAGCUCCGACGACCCCCACCUUGGCGCCCAUCCACGAGCUGGAGCAGCCGGAUGAGGACGAACCCACCGAGACUGCCUCUUCCUCCAGCGACCACGCCACCCCAGCGCCACCAGGACGUCGCGGCACCACCACCGAGCUUCCAGCUCUCCCCGUCCCAAUCCCCUCCUCCGGCCGGCCGCUCCUUCCGCACCACCAGAAGCAGCACAGGCGGACAGCAGCAGCUGCGCCCGCCUCCCGCCCACGUCAGCAGAAGCCGUGCUCGAUCCGGUCAAAGAUGAUAUUUUUACACGGGCGGCGGUGCUCGAUCCGUUCUGGAGCAGUGGGAGGAGGACGGCGGCGCAGCGGGCUUCUGUUCUUCCCUGCUGUCGAGAAGCAGUCCCGGCCUGUUGACCCGCGCGCCCUCGUCCUGGCCGUGGCCGCUACCUGGGCUGCUCGCAAGGCAGCGCAACAUGUCGGGGUCGCCGACGACCCUGAGGAGGAAGAGGAGUGCUUGGUCCGGCGCUCCGUCUCCUGCACCCUGCCGCCACGCGCUCCUUGAAGAUGCCCAGCCAGCCAUGAAGUAAUUCAAGUUCAAGGAUCUCCUCAAAGGAAAGGAAGAUGGCUGUACUCACAUAUUCUCCAUGUCCCAUCCAUCAGUGAGGACUUGAUGGAAAAUGGAGACGUUUGUAUCAGGGAGUUUGUUGACAAGAGCUCCAUACUGACUACUAUCAGGUUCAAGGAGACUCGUCAUCAUAGUCACUGUUCUAUGUAAUCUAUCAUAACAGUGGCAGUUUCCUCCCUCAAGUUGCUCGGAUCCAGUUAGGCAAACAAAGUAUGCAGUGAACUCUAGUGCAUAAUCUUUUUUGAGGGUACGCCAAAGGCGUACCUUAGCUUUAUACUCAGCCCAUUAUCUCUUACUGCAAUGUAUCUCAGCCCAUUACAACUGAACCAAAUAUAAAUAUAUUACCAUUAGAUGCCCAAGAUUGAAAACACAAAAUGACCUAUCAGAUGCUGAACAUUUUCUUACUUAUUAAGAAAACACUAAGCUAAUUGCUAUUUACUCUGGCUUAUACCUUCAGGUAUGGUUUAGUCAACAUGCAUUUACAUUCUGUAUUCCAACAGUUCUCCCAGUUGUGCAUAUCAUAUUUUGUUGAUUGCAGAAGAGUAUUUAAGAUCAAGAAUUACACUAUUUAUCUUCUCUUUUAGAGAAAAAACAGAUGAAGUAUGCUUAUGUUUCUAACUUUAACAUUCUGGAGUACAGCCUCUUUGAGGAGCGCUAAGCUUAGCAAGGUGGACAGAUGGACCUGUUCAAGUCAGUUUUCUUGGCCCUUGCCUAGCCUAGCCUAGCCUAGCCUAGCUGCUUGAAAGGAAGGGGGCGAUGGAGGUGGUGGCAGAGGCCGGCGCGCAGCAGCCCUGGGACCAGUUCAAGGAGGAGGUGGAGAUCAUGGAGGAGCAGCCGAAGGAGCAGAAAGGAGCAGCGAGCAGCAGCGGCGGCUGACCUCGAGCUCUCGAUUGGAGUGGAGGGAGGCGGCCGACGAGGGAUCUGCGGCCGACGGGGAAGGAUCUGGAGCUGCGGCGGAGCAGGCAACCAGUGGGGAAAGGCGGCCGCCGGUGAGGGAGCUUCUGAUCGCGGCGGGGAAGGGCGACCAAAGAGGGGAUCGGGCUCUGAUUGGAGCGGCGCAGGCAGCCGGCGGGGAAGGACGAGCAACGGAGGAAGACGACGGCCCGAGCGAUUUCAAAUCGGAGGGGGGGGGGGGGGGGGGGGGGGGGGGGGGGGGGGGAGCGAUUUCGUAAUUUCACUUGUUUUCACCUGGUCGGAACCCCCCCAACGACAAUUAUUUCGGAACGGAGGGAGUAUUAUAUUAUAUUUACUAAUUGGAGGCACUAA